UUAAUCAGAUCAAAGAGUACAAGAUGUACCAUGACCAUUUUCACUCAAUUAUAUUGCAUUUGUUGUCUCAUGCCUUAUGCAUAAGAAAAGUGCAUACUGUACGGAUACUUUUUAUCAGUUCAUUUAUUAAUUUUUACUAACAUGCUAUAGACAUGUACUUACAGUGUAUAACCAACAUUUACUCAGAACCUGAUCCUGCGUGCCUCAACUUCACACACAUUCUAUCUUCCAGCCUUUUUCAUGCAAUCUGACACCACGCCUAAUGCAUUGUUGUCUGUAAUAAAAGCAAUACUCUAAUUCCCCGACGUCUUACUUCCUCCCAUGAAACCUUAAUGGGUACAUGUAUAUUUACAAAUAGAUAAGAUAAAAUAGAGAUGAAGGGAGUAUUUAUCCACAAAUUUUAACGAGAAUGGUUGUAAAUAUAUAUCUUCUAGUAUAUACUUGCACAUAUAUAAUAAUUUUAAUAAUAUAUAUAUAUAUAUAUAUAUAUAUAUAUAUAUAUAUAUAUAUAUAUAUUUCAAUUUAUUGUUAGCUAUCCAUGCAUUCUCAUGUUGUGUUAAAAUUCUAUGUAUUUUAAAGUAAUUUGAAUAUAAUAAUAUCUUUCUCAUUAGAGGAGCUUUUCAAUACUAAGUACGUAAGAAAAAAAAAAUUAUGAAUAGUUAUUUUUUUGUCUUAUCUUUUUCAUUAUAAUUGCUUAUAAAGAAACUUAUUUAGACUGGAUUAAAAUUUAGGCGGGUAUAAAUAGUUAAUGUAAAUAUUGUAAUUUUAUGUUAAAUAAAAAUUAAUAAAUUAACAAAAAGAUGUGAUAACAAAAUAUAACAUACAUUUUGUCACACUUUGCAUGUGUAGAAUUUUAAAAGAAUAAAGAUAUAAAUGUAGCAUAAAUAAAUUUUAAAUAUUACAGAAUUAAUAGAAUAUUUAUAAUCUUAUUGUGAUAUUUAACAAAUAGUAAAAAAAAUAUUUAUAAAUGUAUAGAAAGAUCAAGUAAAGGAUAUUAUAACCAUUUUAAUCUAUUAAUUGUUGCCAAAAAAAAAAAACUAAAAUAAUACAUAUACAGAGUCAUGCGAGAGUUGUAUUGGUUGGCUGAAGAUUCGAAAUAUCAAUGACAUUGUAAUGCAGUGAAGGAAAAGUUAGGUUGAAUUAUUUGUAUGACAUGAUGAUGUUCACUCAAAAAAAAUUUAGACGCUUAGUGCAACGGUCUGUGAUAGGCUAACUAAUCAGUUGUCAAUACCCGCAUAAGGAGUGGAGCCGUCAACCCCAAACAAAUUUGGAAUAGUGGGAUAGCCAUAACGAAAUGAUCGUUAUUUUAAUGUUUUUUUAUAUGUUAAAUAAUUAACAAUAUGUAUAUAUAAGUGCAAAAACAGAAUUAAAUACAAAAAAAGUUCUAGUUAUUUUAAUCUUUUUUUUUAUCACAUUAUAAAUCCUAUCCUACUUAUAUUUUUCUAUUUAUUCUGUUCAAUUUAAGGAAUAAAGACAAGUAUCUACAUUGCAAAGGUCAAAAUAGCAACCCACCUAUCUUAUAAGGGGAGCAAUUAAAUCUUUUCUGGAAACAAAAAUUAAUAAGCAUAUUUAGAUAGAUUUUUAUGUGGAAGGCUUCAAACAGUUUAAUAAAAAAGAUCACUAAAGCCAUGGGAAAGGCUUCAAACAGUUUAAUAAAAAAGAUCACUAAAGCCACCACAGGAGUGCAGGACGCACACACAACAAUUUAAUAAGCACAAAAAAAUCAUAACCUUUUUCAAAAAACAAACAAAAAGAAUCAGAGUCUGUCACACAAAAAUUGUUAUUGGGGCCAACAGUUCAAGUCUUCCUCACCUCAAGCAAGGUGGCAGCGCAGUGCAAACUCGUUGUCGGGGCCACCGGACGCAGGACGCAGGUGUCGGGUCGCAGCUUCGCGGGAUGCAGACUCGUGGUGGCUGGUCGACUUGGGGGUUUUCUAGAAGCUGGUCGACUUGGGGGUUUUCUAGAGAUAUGGACGGGGAGAAGGCCAGGUAAUACAAAAAGCACCAAAAAUACCCUCACUUUUCCACAUUAGAGGGCAUUUCUGAAAUUUCCACAGCGUCACGGUAGCCGCGCGAAAAUCCGGUUCAGAUCCUGCACCACUCCGCCACUCCACCCCGCCGCGAUAGCGGAUAGCGGCGGCGACAUCCGCGACAUUGAACCGCGCCACUACGACCCUCUUCGUCGCGGAUGGGUGCCGCUCAGUCGCGAUAGCGGCCGCGACACCCGCUGUUAAUAACUAUGAUU
rnacentral:lncRNA from 1 species